CUUUGCUUAAAAAAAAAAAACCAGUGGGCUAGGCUAGUAGAUGGGGCGGGGUGGGUCCACGAGGCCAGUGAGUGGGGUCAGGAGGAAUCCUGGGCAGCGGUCCUGCCCGCGGGCAGUGCCGUGCCGUGCCACCCCCAGCAUAAAAGCGAGGACUGCUCGGUCGCCGUGGUGCCGCAGUUUGCCGCUCUCGGCACUCGUUCGGCUUCCUCUCUUCUCUUUCCGGCCUAUCAGCAGUCAGUUUCUCUCGUCUGUGCUGAUGGCGUCCAACUACGUCGACACCGGGGCGGAGGAGGGCAGGUUCCACGGCCACCACAGCACGACGCCGACCAGCGCGGCGGCGUCGCCGAAGACGCUGCGGAGGAGCUCGUCGUCCGCCCACAGCCACGGCCACGGGCCCAAGUGCGUGUGCGCGCCGGCCACGCACGCAGGCUCCUUCAAGUGCCGCCUCCACCGCAGCAGCUCCCACGGCCACGGCCACGGCCACGGCAGCAACCCGGCGUCCCCUCCCUCCCCGGCCACCUUCGCCGCUGCGCCGCCGCCGGCCGCGGCCGCGUCCUCCUCCCGCACCGUCGCGGCGCAGUGACGGCGCCCCAAGAAACGCCGACCCAGCAGCAGUGAAGAGAGGAGAAGAGAAGAGAGAAACGGCAAAAGGGAAAAAGGAAAACACACUCUCUCUGUUAUUAUGCGACACGAGAAAGGGAGCUUAUUUGUUCCUCCCUUCAUCUUCACGUACGCCAACGGCAGAAUUUCCCAUUUCGUUUCACUUCCUCCUCCCCCCCUCGUCUUUUAACCUUUUUUGGCUGAGAUAUCCAUCGAUUCUCGCUGGAAUGGUCUUCCCCUCCUUCGGUCAGAAGAAACCCUCCCUGGUUGUACUGUACUAGGCAAUGCGCAUCCUGCUAGAUCGCCUCCGCUGAAAUGGAAAGCGUAUGUGUGAUGGUGACAUGAAGUUCACUUGUGUAAUUAUUACCAUUUCAGUAAAUCCAUGCUUCUUGCAGGAGUUGUGAUCUUGGUGGUGGGUCUGCUGAUUACUCUUCCACCAUUCCGUCGUGGAGGUCUUGAAAUUGCGUCAAUUAUUCGCUAUAAACAAGGAUGACUGGCCAGGAAACAGUAACAGUGGACCGAGAUCCAAAACAAUUUUGGAUGGUAAAACGUAGCAAUCACACGACCUGCUUAGCACUGAAACGCUGGGAUUCUUUGUUGAACGUAGCAAUCUCACGACCUGCUUAGCACUGAAAC
rnacentral:misc_RNA from 1 species